UCCCCUUUAAAAAUUUAAAUAGUGAAAAACCCCAUUAAAACAAGAAAUGCAAUGUGUGGGAGGAUGGCAGAAGCAGGUAAAGGUCCCCAACCCCUUAAGGACACACGACAGAAAUAUUCCGUCAUGAUUCCCUUUUAUUCCAGAAGUUGUGUCCCCAAGGGGCUAAAGAUCUUCUUACCUGUAAUCUGCGUUCCCAAUUGCACCCAAACUUCUGACACCAGUUUGUUGGGGAUAAAAUCAGCCCGGGCCCUUUGGGGAUGAUGGAUAUUUGCC